rnacentral:sRNA from 2 species
AUAGUGCACAUAGAGUGCGGGUGAGAAGCUGCGUUCAGGUUCGAGCCGAGUGGAGCGAGACAGCGUUGCGCUUGCGCAACGACCCGUGUGCACGAAUGAUGUUUUUAAUCCAACCCUAAUCCUUC